rnacentral:rRNA from 1 species
GACGAACGCUGGCGGCGUGCUUAACACAUGCAAGUCGAACGGAAAGGCCCUGCUUUUGUGGGUUUCUCGAGUGGCGAACGGGUGAGUAACACGUGAGUAACCUGUCCUUGACUUAGGGAUAACUUCAGGAAACUGGGGCUAAUACCGGAUAGGAGCUCCUGCUGCAUGGUGGUGGUUGGAAAGUUUCGGCGGUUGGGGAUGUACUCGCGGCUUAUCAGCUUGUUGGUGGGGUAGUGGCUUACCAAGGCUUUGACGGGUAGCCGGCCUGAGAGGGUGACCGGCCACAUUGGUACUGAGAUACGCACCAGACGCCUACGGGACGCAGUAGUGGGGAAUAUUGCACAGUGAGCGGAAGCCUGAGGCAGCAACGCCGCGUGCGGGAUGACGGCCUUCGGGUUAUAAACCGCUUUCGCCUGUGACGAAGCGUGAGUGACGGUAAUGAGUAAAGAAGCCCCGGCUAACUACGUG